rnacentral:rRNA from 1 species
GCCAGGCCCUACGGGGCGCAGCAGGCGCGAAACCUCCGCAAUGCACGCAAGUGCGACGGGGGAACCCCAAGUGCCACUCUUAACGGGGUGGCUUUUCAGAAGUGUAAAAAGCUUCUGGAAUAAGGGCUGGGCAAGACCGGUGCCAGCCGCCGCGGUAACACCGGCAGCUCAAGUGGUAGCCGCUUUUAUUGGGCCUAAAGCGUCCGUAGCCGGUCUGAUAAGUCUCUGGUGAAAUCCCGCAGCUUAACUGUGGGAAUUGCUGGAGAUACUAUCAUGACUCGAGGUCGGGAGAGGCUGGAGGUACUCCCAGGGUAGGGGUGAAAUCCUGUAAUCCUGGGAGGACCACCUGUGGCGAAGGCGUCCAGCUGGAACGAACCUGACGGUGAGGGACGAAAGCCAGGGGCGCGAACCGGAUUAGAUACCCGGGUAGUCCUGGCCGUAAACGAUGUGGACUUGGUGUUGGGAUGGCUUCGAGCUGCCCCAGUGCCGAAGGGAAGCUGUUAAGUCCACCGCCUGGGAAGUACGGCCGCAAGGCUGAAACUUAAAGGAAUUGGCGGGGGANCNCCACAACNNGCGGAGCCUGCGGUUUAAUUGGAUUCAACGCCNG